rnacentral:rRNA from 1 species
AGUGAACGCUGGCGGUAGGCCUAACACAUGCAAGUCGAACGGCAGCACAGGAGAGCUUGCUCUCUGGGUGGCGAGUGGCGGACGGGUGAGGAAUACAUCGGAAUCUACCUUUUCGUGGGGGAUAACGUAGGGAAACUUACGCUAAUACCGCAUACGACCUACGGGUGAAAGUGGGGGACCGCAAGGCCUCACGCGAUUAGAUGAGCCGAUGUCCGAUUAGCUAGUUGGCGGGGUAAUGGCCCACCAAGGCGACGAUCGGUAGCUGGUCUGAGAGGAUGAUCAGCCACACGGGAACUGAGACACGGUCCAGACUCCUACGGGAGGCAGCAGUGGGGAAUAUUGGACAAUGGGCGCAAGCCUGAUCCAGCCAUACCACGUGGGUGAAGAAGGCCUUCGGGUUGUAAAGCCCUUUUGUUGGGAAAGAAAUCCUGUCGAUUAAUACUCGGUGGGGAUGACGGUACCCAAAGAAUAAGCACCGGCUAACUUCGUGCCAGCCGCCGCCGUAACAC